UCCUACGGGAGGCAACAGUGGGGAAUAUUGCACAAUGGGGGAAACCCUGAUGCAGCGACGCCGCGUGAGUGAAGAAGUAUCUCGGUACGUAAAGCUCUAUCAGCAGGGAAGAAAAAAAGUCUUUGGCUUUGGACGGUACCUGACUAAGAAGCCCCGGCUAACUACGUGCCAGCAGCCGCGGUAAUACGUAGGGGGCAAGCGUUAUCCGGAUUUACUGGGUGUAAAGGGAGCGUAGACGGCGAUGCAAGUCUGAAGUGAAAGGCGGGGGCCCAACCCCCGGACUGCUUUGGAAGCUGUAUAGCUGG
rnacentral:rRNA from 1 species